CGCAAAUUGCGCCCUUUGGUAUUCCGAAGGGCAUGCCUGUUUGAGUGUCAUAUAGACUUCACCUAACCAUUUUUAAUUAAAUGUGCUAUGGUGCUUUGGAUGUCUGCCAUUAACCUUGGCUCGUCUUAAAUGUCUAAGUGAAUAAUGGCGUGAUAAGUUCUUCGCUAUUGCUGUUCACUCUAAUGAAACUUUUUAAGCUCUGACCUCAAAUCAGGUAGGACUACCCGCUGAACUUAA
rnacentral:misc_RNA from 1 species